rnacentral:lncRNA from 1 species
GCCGUGGCUUGCCCAUCCUCUUCAACUCCUUCAGCACUGAUUGUUCCAACCGUGAUAGCCUGCUCCAAAGUUUGCCCCACCAUUGGCUGGCCAGUGGCCAAUCAGAUACUCUCAAUGCCGUGAUCCGAGAUUGGGCUUUGGGCCCUGAACUGUGAUGUCACAGAACCUGGGACCUGCACCCAUGCUGGGCUAAGACAAGGGGCAGAGGCAGAGAGAGAGAGAGGAGCCACCCUGAGAAGGAAGAGACCAGGUGGGCUCUGAGACAGGGAGACCCUUUCUACGUCGGUGCCUUGACAUGUGACUUUUUUGUCACUUCGUGCUCCAGGAUCACACCUGGAUGAACUAUCACUUUCAAAUGACCUUGUCUUUUCUCGGGCCUUCUGAACUGAUCAUCUCUUCCUUCUGAUACAAGAGGAUCUUCCCUGGAAGACCACUGCACACCUUCUAGUAACACUGCGACCCUGGAUGCAUAUUUAGAAAAAUCUCAGCACAUCUCUGGGCAAUGAAAUCAUUCUUUUGGGACCUGACACAUGAACUGAAGUGUAAUUGGCAUUCUUCGUGGAAGGGGCAUGGAUUUAAAUUGUCUCUCCAUCACUCUCUGCUGCCUGGUAACUGGUAUUGGACACCUGGACAUCUGCAUCCCCGAGCCUUGAGAACCCAACACGUGUUCUGGAAUGACUGGCAGUAGCACCCCACCACUCAACCCCCAUAUGAGAAGAAAAAGGCCUCCUGCCUCCUCUUCUUUCACCAGACACUGUGGGCCCACAAUUCCCAUGUGCACCCCAAAGAUCCAAGCCACUAGCUCUCUCUCCACCUCUUGCAGGGUAGACCUUCUCCUUUUUUUUUGGCGGGAGCGGACAGAAUCCCACUCUGUCACCCAGGCUAAAGUGCAGUGGCGCGAUCUCGGCUUUUGUGUUAUACAAGGCUCUUUAUAUCAUGAUUAACACAAUAAGGUGCUUAAUCAUGAGUCUUAAUGUGGCUGCAUCCCACUCCCUAGGCUUCAAGGACAGAAAUUGCAUAUUUUUGAAAAGGUUAUUCUAAUGUACACCUGGGUUUGUGAUCCACUUAUAAGCCCUCAAAACCACUAAUCUGUUCUCCAUAAUUUUGUCAUUUCUGGAAUAUCACAUAAAUGAAAACAUACC